GGGUCCAUAGCUCAGUUGGGAGAGCAGUAGACUGAAGUUCUAAAGGUCCCGCGUUCAAUCCGCGGUGGGCCCA
rnacentral:tRNA from 1 species